rnacentral:tRNA from 1 species
GGUGGGGUGGCCGAGUGGUUAGGCGGGGGUUUGCAAAACUCUGUACGGCGGUUCAAAUCCGUCCCCACACCU